rnacentral:lncRNA from 1 species
GGCCAGGAAGGGGCGCUGGGGGGUUGUGCUGUGCAGUGUCCCCUGGCACAGCUCGGCCAGUUCCUGCGGCUUCCCGGGAGAUUCAUCUGGAGGACUAAGAAAGUGGAGCCAGUAACAUUAUAUUGACUCCACUGAUACUAUCCUCCUAAAUUAAAUGGUGGAAGAACAAGGCCUGCCUGAGAGAUAAAGUCAGGACCUACUUCAUCUGCCUACAAGAUUUUAAUGGCAAUUAGAGGGAACAAGUUAAAAGGUGUUUCUGCAGAGAACGGUGGGUGUGUUUGGUUUGAAUUGAACACACUAAACCAUGUUUCAGUGCUGUUGUGUUGCCUGUUGCGUUUGUGCUUUUGACGUUCUCACCUGUGUUUUUGCCGGCAGGCCUGCGGGUCCCUUUGUUCCUGCUCCAGGACUGGGUGAGCGGAGGCGCUGGACGUGCUGAAGGGUUAUGAUAGUGCCUGGUAAUGACCACCGAGUCAUAUUCUGUUGAACAGGCUGCUCCAUACUCAGCCACCAGGCCUGCGCUCCCCAAGAGAUUCAUCGAGCUGGCAGCAGAGUGACGGAGCUGUGUGGUGCCUGGACAGUCCCACCCCAGUGCUGAGAACAUCAUGUUUGGCUCAGAAGGUCUGUCCUUGCAGCAGUCCUGCGAGAGCGUUGUGAAGUCCCUGGAGCUCACCAGUUGAAAAAUACUUUGGAUUGAGUUCUUGUAUCAUCUGAAGUGAAUCCUGGCACCAGGAUACAGAUAUAUCCAUUUAAAAGAAGAGCGUGGCUCUCUGUUUUUGCAAGACAAAGGUAAAACUUGUUCCAGUGGGUGGAAGUUGGAUCCUGCUGCAAGUCACGCAUUUUGAAGCGAAGAAUGGUGCUUCCUCAGCCCUUCAUUCCCUGGCAUUCCCUGUACGCUUCAGCUGCUGUUCUCUGGUAUGGCCUGGCCAGCGUCAGCAGGGCUCACGUGGCCACCUCGUGGCCUCUGCAGUGGCGGUGGCUGAGUCACCUGCUGCAGGGGGACACGGGUUGUGCUCACUGCAAGACAGCGACUGGCUGUCCGACAGAGUGACCGUCACCACCCUUUCUGCCCUGGAAAUCCCUGAAUUCCUGGUAGACGGAGAGAUCACCCUGUACAUACAUAGCUCAGUGUCACAAAACCCAUCUUCUUUUGGGUAUUGCAAAAGAAAUAGGUAUCCAAGAGAAGACGGUACUAAUUGCUGCUAUAAUUACAUACUCAGCUUCUGUUGUCAUGAUUUCUGCAAAGUCUGUUUCAUGGAAACUUUUUCAAAGCUAUUUGGGGAAGAACAGGAAGCUUUUGGCACACAGUUCUACAUCAAAUCUCUUCAGUUUUGCCAGGCUGUGUUUGUAGAGACCCUGUAUAUUGUAGAGGCCACCACCUGUCCCUGACUGUCCCCUAGAAUGGAAACUUGAAACAGUUAUUUUUGUAAUG